GUCCACGUAGCUCAACGGGAUAGAGCAGUCCUCUCCUAAAGGACCGAUAGGGGUUCGAGUCCCUUCGUGGACG
rnacentral:tRNA from 1 species